GACGAACGCUGGCGGCGUGCUUAACACAUGCAAGUCGAACGAUGAAGGAGAGCUUGCUCUUCGGAUUAGUGGCGAACGGGUGAGUAACACGUGACUAACCUGCCCCUUUCUCUGGGAUAACGCUCCGAAAGGAGUGCUAAUACCGGAUACUCACAUCGAGGCACAUGCCUUGAUGUGGAAAGUUUUUCGGAAAGGGAUGGAGUCGCGGCCUAUCAGCUUGUUGGUGAGGUAACGGCUCACCAAGGCGACGACGGGUAGCCGGCCUGAGAGGGCGACCGGCCACACUGGGACUGAGACACGGCCCAGGCUCCUACGGGAGGCAGCAGUGGGGAAUAUUGCACAAUGGGCGAAAGCCUGAUGCAGCGACGCCGCGUGAGGGAUGAAGGCCUUCGGAUUGUAAACCUCUUUCAGUAGGGACGAAGCGAAAGUGACGGUACCUAAAGAAGAAGCACCGGCUAACUACGUGCCAGCCGCCGCAGUAA
rnacentral:rRNA from 1 species